UUGCUUCUUCACGGAUAGGAACACGAAGUGGUGUUGUGAGAUACGACAAGUUCUUCUGCACCUUUUCACAGGCGAGCCCACCCCUUCACCUAUUUUACUUUUACAUGCUCUUUUGAUCUAUUGCUAUCCUUAUGUUGCGAUUCUGUUGUGUCACGUGUCCUAUCCACCUGUUACCGAUAUGUCCGAGAUACACCUCCUCGCCCUACCUAUUGUUUGUUGUUUGCCAGCUUUGCGAGUCGUAGGCGAGUUUAGGGUCUUGUUGAUAUCUCGAGAUGUUCGGGAUAUCUUGUUGGGAAGUUGACACAUGUACCACCUUUUGAAAAUGAUGUUGAUAACUUUUGCUACAACUAAAAUUGCUAAGGGAUAAUAACAUUGCAGAGGCAUCUGUGAGCCCCUUUGCGAAAGCAUUGGAACUUUGACUCGCUAAUGUCCCCUAGGACCCGAGUUCUUGUUAUCUGUUCCGAGAUUGAGCGCUCUACCCGUACGUGGGGACCAUUAUCGGGACCCCCCUCACCCUUUACCUUUUCUCAAGUUAGUUGAAAAGGGGGCCACAACCUUGGUUUUAUUUGCCUAUGCCAUGUAUGCCAUGCUUUACUUACUGUUGCCUUCGGGUGUUUACUUCCUGUUGCCUUCGGGUGUUUAUAUUCUGUACUGUACCCCGCGGAACGUUUAGCGAAGCGUGUGGUUUGCACGCCUAGCCGUUAAUGCAAACCCUGAGUCCGCUUCGGAGUACGGCCGGACUUCGUUACGGGUAGCUUAGUCGGGUGGCCCCCCUAGACUUUCUUGUUGAACUGGGAACGGUCUUGUUGUGAGACAUCCACCUGUCGUAAGUGGGUCGAGCAUGCGUAUGGUUACAUUUGGGCAACCCCUGCAGGGUGUACAUCUUAUCGAUAAGCCGUGUCCACGGUUAUGGACGACUUGGAAUUGUAUAGCUUGAUCAUAGAACAACUUACACCUUAUUUCCUGUUGCUAAUAAAAAAAUUUCAAAAAGUGUGUGUGCUUUUGCCAGUACCUCUUUGCGAAGGGGGAUCGCAUCGGCUGUGUUAUGUUUGCAGAGUUUAGAACUGUUACCUUGUGCGCUCUCUUAUCUUCUCUGUGUAGACGGAUGUUGUAGCGUGUCUCUAUUGGAUAGUAGCUUUGCUGCCGCUAAACUCCACAUAUAGCCGGGUGAAGUUUAUACCGCCCACCAGUGAGGAUAGCUGGUCUUGUCUCGCAAGUACGUGCCAAUGGUACUUACCCUCGCCUUCCUUUCUUUUUGUCUCCUCCCCCUUUUGUCGGCAACCGAUGGCCCGACUUUGAUAGGUACGAGAUGACGACGUUAGCAAGGUUAUCCUUUCGGCUUGGCCUGGGCAGGGUUAUGGACGCCACUGGUUAUCUUCAGGACUCUUAGUCCAAUUUGAAUCUUGUCCGUACUCGGACGUAUUUGAUCUUCUGUAUGAUUUGGAUCUUUGUAUGUAUCUAUUUGUAUCUUGACUCGUUGGAGUCGUUGUUGUAAUAUAUGUUUCUUGUGGGCUCUAUUGUAAUCCUGUUGUAAUGUUACCGCUCGUGUUAAUUCCUCUGGCAUCACGUGUGUGA